UACGAAGGUCCAAGCGUUGUUCGGAAUCACUGGGCGUAAAGGGAGCGUAGGCGGCGUGGUAAGUCAGAUGUGAAAUCCCGGGCUCAACCCCGGAACUGCAUCCGAUACUGCCAUGCUAGAGGAUUGGAGAGGUAGCUGGAAUUCUUGGUGUAGCAGUGAAAUGCGUAGAUAUCGAGAGGAACACCAGUGGACGAAGGCGAGUCCCUGGACAACACCGUGACACUGAGGCACGAAAGCUAGGGGAGCAAACAGG
rnacentral:rRNA from 1 species